rnacentral:rRNA from 1 species
GACGAACGCUGGCGGCGUGCUUAAUACAUGCAAGUCGAACGAACAGGUCCUGCGCUUGUGGGGUGCUCGAGUGGCGAACGGGGGAGUAAAACGUGUGGAACCUGCCCCUGACUUUGUGGUAAAUUCUGGAGACUGGGGCGAUAAUAGGAUAGGAUAUACUGCUGCACGUUGGGGGAUGGUAAGAUUCGGCGGUUGGGGAUGGAAUCGCGGCUUAUGAGCUUGAUGGUGGGGUAGUGGCUUUCCAAGGCUAUGACGGGUAGCCCGCCUGAGAGGGUGACCAGCCACAUUGGGCCUGAGAUACGGCGCAGACUGCUACGGGAGGCAGCAGUGGGGAAUAUUGCACAAUGGGCGGAAGCCUGAUGCAACGACGCCGCGUGCGGGAUGCUGGGCUUCGGGUUGUAAACCGCUUUCUCCGUAGACGUGGCGUGAGUGACGGUAAUGGGUAAGGAAGCCCCGGCUAACUACGCG